GACGAACGCUGGCGGCGUGCUUAACACAUGCAAGUCGAACGGCGAAGCGCUUUCCUUUUUGUUUGGCGUGUAUGAGUGGCGACCGGGUUAGUAACACGUGAGUAACCUUCCCCCUUCUUCUGGAUAACCGCAUGAAAGGACGGCUAAUACGGGAUAUUCUGCUCCUUCUGCAUUGCGGGUGUGGGGAAGAUUGUGCCUCUGUGUGUUUUCGGUGGGGGAUGGGCUCGCGGCCUAUCAGCUUGUUGGUGGGGUGAUGGCCUACCAAGGCGGUGACGGGUAGGCGGCCUGAGAGGGUGGACGGUCACACUGGGACUGAGACACGGCCCAGACUCCUACGGGAGGCAGCAGUGGGGAAUAUUGCACAAUGGGCGCAAGCCUGAUGCAGCGACGCCGCGUGAAGGAUGGAGGUCUUCGGGUUGGGAACCUCUUUCGCCAGGGAAGCAGGCCGGGUCCUUGUGGGUGGGUUGACGGUAGCUGGAUAAGAAGCGCCGGCUAACUACGUG
rnacentral:rRNA from 1 species